AGCUCCUGAAGCAGCGCACAACCACCACAAACUCCAGCUCUCCUCUGUCAAAAUGCCAGACUCUAAUGAAGCUGUGCCAGCACCAUGCCAGGUUAUCAAAGAGGACGUUGACAAAUGUGUCAGAGAGAAGGGAGCAGAGGACUGUAAAGAUCUGAUAGAUGCCUUCCAGGCCUGUAUAAAAGCCCUGUCUGAGGGAUCGUGAUACAUGAGAAGUACAUCUUUAUAAAAUCUUCAUUUAAUCAAAGCCUUCCACUUUCCCAGCAUUCCCUUCGAUGCUUAUUGCACUGGACUGAACCAUCAGAGAAACUGAGGAGGGGGGUGAUGACACUGUGCUUCUGAUACUGUAUUCUUCUGUCAAUGUGAAAGAUGUUUGUUUUUUUUCGUGAAUGUUGUAACUUCAUUAUGGACUCCACUAUAACACUGACUGCCUGUGCACUGUAACAUUUUAUGCACAAAAAUACAAUAAAAAUACAAUAAAUAAAAAGC